ensembl:rRNA 5S_rRNA 5S ribosomal RNA
GCUAGCAGCCAUAUCACCCUGCAACUCACAACUGGUAACCCGCUGACGCUAAGCAGGUGUGAGCCUGGUCAGUACCUGGAUGGGAGACCUCCUGGGAAAAACUAGGGUUGCUGCUGGAA